AGGGCGGGCAGCCCGGGGCGCAAAGGAUGUACAAGCAGUCAAUGGCGCAGAGAGCGCGGACCAUGGCACUCUACAACCCCAUCCCCGUCCGACAGAACUGCCUCACGGUUAACCGGUCUCUCUUCCUCUUCAGCGAAGACAACGUGGUGAGAAAAUACGCCAAAAAGAUCACCGAAUGGCCUCCCUUUGAAUAUAUGAUUUUAGCCACCAUCAUAGCGAAUUGCAUCGUCCUCGCACUGGAGCAGCAUCUGCCUGAUGAUGACAAGACCCCUAUGUCUGAACGGCUGGAUGACACAGAACCAUACUUCAUUGGAAUUUUUUGUUUCGAGGCUGGAAUUAAAAUCAUUGCCCUUGGGUUUGCCUUCCACAAAGGCUCCUACUUGAGGAAUGGCUGGAACGUCAUGGACUUUGUGGUGGUGCUAACGGGCAUCUUGGCGACAGUUGGGACGGAGUUUGACCUACGGACGCUGAGGGCAGUUCGAGUGCUGCGGCCGCUCAAGCUGGUGUCUGGAAUCCCAAGUUUACAAGUCGUCCUGAAGUCGAUCAUGAAGGCGAUGAUCCCUUUGCUGCAGAUCGGCCUCCUCCUAUUUUUUGCAAUCCUUAUUUUUGCAAUCAUAGGGUUAGAAUUUUAUAUGGGAAAAUUUCAUACCACCUGCUUUGAAGAGGGGACAGGUAGGUCCACGGAGCAUGAUGUGUCUUUCCAGUUUUCUCCUUCACAGACAAGCUCUUGGGAGGAUUAGGCAGGGGUGUGCUUCUUUCUCCUGGCAGCUGGGAGGACCGUCUCCUUCAGAGAGCACUGCAGGAGAGGCAGUGGGUGAAAUAGCCUCUGAGAUCUUAGCUGUUGAAAGGGUUGGGGUUCCACAGAAGGUGACCCAGCAGAGAAAGAGUUUAUUUGGAAAUGAUCCCAGAAAGCACCAUCAGGAGAAUGAGGAAGUGAGCAGAGAAAGGAAGGGAUCUGUUAAAGGGUGUGCUACCAAGCGGGUUAUCACUUACAACUGGGACUGGAUCCCCCUGGGCACCUCUGGGAGACAGCAAAGAACACACAACUCAGCUGGGCAUGGUGGCUCACGCCUGCAAUCCCAGCACUUUGGGGGGCCGAGGGGGGUGGAUCACCUGAGAUCAGAAGUCAGAGACCAUCCUGGCCAACAUGGUGAAACCCAUCUGUACUAAAAAAUACAAAAAUUAGCUGGGUGUGGUGGCAGGCACCUGUAGUCCCAAUUACUCAGGAGGCUGAGGCAGGAGAAUCACUUGAACCUGGGAGGCAGAAGUUGCAGUGAGCCAAGAUCACACCACUGCACUCCAGCCUGGCGAAAGAGCGAGACUCCAUCUCAAAUAAAUAAAUACAAAUAUAAAUAAAAAAAGAAUACACACCUCAGAGCCGUCCCAGCCAAGGGGCAAGGGAGCUGGGGUAUUUAUACACUGGCUUCUUUCUGACAUCGGUGAGGACUGCUCCUAGAGUGGGAAUUAAUGCCUGGCACAUCUGGCUGAGUGGAACAGGUAUUCUGAGUGCUUUCAGACCUCAACCAGUCCUGACUUCUAAAGCAAGCAAGAAGUGGGGAGAGUUGGGCCAGAAAAGGGUUAUUGCCUAAAUGCAGUGUGAGUGGUACCUUGUGGAAGGUGAGAGUACUGGAUGAGUCCUCCUGGUCUCCCCCAACCCCCAGGAUGUGCCAGAGAUACCCCAAUUGGGAGUCCUGACACCAGCCAAUCAGAACCUAGCACUCAGCAUUGUUCUGCCCCUCCCUGACUAUGCCCACAUUAACCCUUCAGUGGCUGGGUCUGGGGGUGGGGUGAGCCCCGGAAAAGCCAGGCAGCCCAGAGACACUCUCCCAGGGCUCAGCUCUGAACCAGCAGUGUGGAAGCAGUGUGUCUGCCACGAUCCACACUCAGGAACCAAAUAGCCCUUGGAUACGUUUUCAGUUAAAUCUUUGCCUGUCCAAACUCUAGCUGCUUGCUCUCUAAAGCUCCAGAAUGAAAUGGAAUCAAGUAGGAAAAGAUGCCUUCAGUAUUUCAAUAUUUGGACCACUGGCCAUCUGGGUGCAGACAGACUGAAUGGCAGCUCUGGUUCUGAUGAUUUGGGUCAAGGGAGCUGUGAAUUGAAGGAGUGGAUAGAAGGAAUCAAGAAGCCCAAAGGGGAACCCAGGUGGGCAGAGAAAGAGGUUUCAGGCCCCUUAUUUGGGAAAGGCAGCCACAGAAGAAGAUUCUGUCUGGGAGUGGAUUUCCACCCACCCUCUCCACCCAGUGACCCCCAAGUGGAUCCGCAGAGGCAGCCCCUGAGCCCUCCCUCCCCACUCCUCCCCAGGCGGGAGGGAAAACCCAUUGGGGAAGGUUUAUUUGCAAUGGUUGGAGGUUUGGGGUUUUUUGUGGGUUUUUUUGGUUUGGUUUUUUUUUUCCUCUUUUUCUCUUGCUCCUCUUGUCUCCUUCUCUCCUGGGCUUGUGAAGUUUGCUCAAUAUGGAAUGUCCUAAUUAUUUCUUUCCCUGAUGAAGAAGGUGUUAAUUGAGGCAGAGCUAUUUCUGCUCCUGGCCUCGUCACCCAGGCGGAAAUGCGAGAGAGAGAGAGAGAGAGAGAGAGAGAGAGAGAGAGAAUGAAUAUGGGGCAGGGCCUCUUGGAAAAAUCAGCCGUGAGCAGAGAAACCAGGACUCCUGGAUGCUAGGUUUCUGUGAGGUUUUAUUUUAGACUAGCUAAAGGAGAAGAGGCCAUGGGGUUGGCUUGGGUCCGAGUGGGGUUUUGAGGGGACAGAUGUGGGUGGUACCACCAGAGGGGAAGAAGCCUCGAUUUAGGAGAAAGACUGAAAAGCUAGCUCACGAUUAAAAAUAUAAGACGUGUGAGUAAGAGACAGAUAUAUACAGACACCCAGGCAGUGGGUUAAUUUUAAAAUGUAUUUAUAACCGAAUUCCUCAGACACUCUGGACGCUUGUUUUUCUAGAAGCAACGCUCAGAGUGUUUCGUGUCGGUGGUUGGGGGGUUGAGGGGGAUUGCAAAGCUGCUAAAGAUAGACCCGUUUUCAGUAGCAUUCCUCAGUGUCGGGAGCCCAGUUCCUGUGCGCCCAGCACCGUGCCAAUCGCUUAGAAGGAAGCAAAGAUAAAGUGGAAGGCUUCCUGCUUUCUAAGAGCUUCCAAAAUAGAGGAAACAAGACCCCUCAUUUGCAGCCAUUUUUAAUGGUGAAGGCUAAUGUGUGAUUAUACCCACGUCCCCCUAAAUGUGAAAAUUCAGUAGCUAUUGUAUGCCUGAAAGGGGCCAGGUGCAGUGGCUCACACCUGUAAUCCUAGCACUUUGAGAGGCUGAGGUAGGAGUAUCCCUUGAGGCCAUUAGUUUGAGACCAGCCUAGGCAACAUAGCAAGACGCUGUCUCUGCUAAAAUAAAAAUUUAAAAAUUGGCCGGGUGCAGUGGCUCAUGCCUGUAAUCCCAGCACUUUGGGAGGCCGAGGCAGGCGGAUCAAAAGGUGAGGAGUUCAAGACCUGCCUGGCCAACAUAGUGAAACCCCGUCUCUACUAAAAAUACAAAAAAAGAAAAAAAAUUAGCCAGGCAUGGUGGCGUGUGCCUGUAGUACCACAUACUUGAGAGGCACUUGAACCUGGGACAUAGAGGUUACAGUGAGCCGAGAUCAUGCUACUGCACUGCAGCUUGGGCAACAGAGUGAGAUUUCUUCUCAAAAUAAAAAAAUUUAAAAAUUAGCCAUGAGUGGUGGUACAUGCCUGUAGUCCUAGCUACUCAGGAGGCUGAGGAAGAAGGAUCACUUGAGCCCAGGAAUUGGAGGCUGUGAGGCUGCAGUAAGCUAUGAUGGAGCCUGCACUGCAGCCUGGGUGACAAAGUGAG
rnacentral:sRNA from 1 species